rnacentral:lncRNA from 1 species
ACAUCGAAGACUCUUUCUCCUCUCGGUCACAUUUUUAGCUUCAUUUUUAUCAUUCACUGUAAUCAGACAACUUUUGAGCUUCUUCUCUUCUUCAUUUUAGAUUUUCACUACAUUUUCUUUUCCACAAGGAUCAUUUCUAGUAUUCGCUUCCAUAUUCGAUGCUUUUGUUUCAGCGUAAAAGCAAGAAUAAGGUGUAUAAAUUGAGGAGCAAGACGAAAUCAAGGCUUCUUAAUUAGUUGAAAGAUCUCAAUGCAAAGCUUGUUCAAUUCCCCAUCACCAAGGUCAUGGGUGGAGUCCCCAGUAAGCUCUCCAAAAUAAAAUUUCUCAUGCUUCUUCUUUGUAUUAAUUUGGAUGGAACUUCCUUCUCUUUUUGGUUUUCAUUUCCUGAGUUCUUUUUUAAUUUUUGAAAUCCUAAACAUAUUUGAUUAUUAUCUUUAGCAUUGUUUAGUUAUAAUCUGAUUCUGUACUUUUAUUUGUAUUUGAAUUUGAUUUGAUUAUUAGUCUAG